rnacentral:lncRNA from 1 species
AUCCGGUUAACCCAUUUGUCUUCGUAAAUUUUUAUGUACUUGGCGUCUACAUUUAGUAGUAGAAUUGAGCAUAUUUCACUGCGCUGUGAGGCUCAGAAACCGCUAUCUCCCCGUAAACCUAACCCAAGCAGCUGUCCUCUGUCCACCCGCCUCCAGCACCAUCCUGGCUUCCCUCCUGGGUGCCCAGAUAGUCCCUGCUACAUAUCCUCUCUUGCAAUUUAAUCACAGCAAACUAUAACCACGCUAGCCAGCAGGACUCUAAUUUUGAGAAGACAUUAGCCAGUCCACUGUCUGCACUUCAGAGGUCCAGACGAAUGGAGAGAUCCUAAGCAGUAUGUGUUCUUCCGAAGGAAUGAAGGGAAACCUGCAUGGCUGACAGGAAAAUCUGCCUGCCCACGCAGAUGCGCGGGCCGAGUGAGGAGAUGAGCUUCAAGCUGGCCAGAGCUAAUGUCCUCUGUAAAAUCUGCUGCCUAAAACUUUUCCGAGACCUCCGUGGCCCUGAGUCUGCUCCUCCGCGAGAUGCUCUUACGCCGGCGCCGGGGGGCUGCAUCCAGCACAGCCCCAGAGGCGCACCCUCAUCUGCGGAGGCUCCCGCCGGCUCCUGUCCCUCCUUCUUGUUCCCUCUACCCAGAGUCACUGACUGCAGGGCGCCUCCUCACCACCCCACUUGACAUGGCCUUUGGGGGAACUCUGGCUCGCGCACACCCAGGUUCACCCGAAGACCCCGCAGCAUCGGGCUACUGCUCUCCAAACCCACUGCCACAUGGGACUCUAAACACACCCAGUUCCACAGCUCCACAAGUCUCUCGCCGCGGUGGUCCGGGCCACAUCACCUCUGCAAAGUGGAGCCUCCUGAAGGAAGCCCGCAGCUGUAAUGCAAAUCCUACACCCAAUCAUACUGCAAGGAUGGCGAAACAGUUAAGGAGUCCAGGGAAGGGAAAAAAACAGAUGCUGGAAUGGCAGCAUGAAGUGGGACCAGAGUAGACGGUCACUACAAGGGGACCCAGCUUCCAGGCCUUUUCAUCUUCGGUACAGGAAUGCCCCCCUUUGGUCGGUACGUUCCAAGACACCCGCUGGAUACCCGAACCUACACAAAACACCAAACCUUGAGCAUACAAUGUCUGCUCUUAUCACAGACCUUAGCAGCC